rnacentral:rRNA from 1 species
UACAGAGGUGGCAAGCGUUGUUCGGAAUUACUGGGCGUAAAGGGCGCGUAGGCGGUCUUCUAAGUCUUGUGUGAAAUCCCUCGGCUCAACUGAGGAACUGCACGGGAUACUGGAAGACUUAAGUUCGGGAGAGGGAAGCGGAAUUCCGGGUGUAGCGGUGAAAUGCGUAGAUAUCCGGAGGAACACCGGUGGCGAAGGCGGCUUCCUGGACCGAUUACUGACGCUGAGGCGCGAAAGCUAGGGGAGCAAACGGG